UUGAACGCUGGCGGCAGGCCUAACACAUGCCAGUCGAGCGGAUGAAGAGAGCUUGCUCCUGGAUUCAGCGGCGGACGGGUGAGUAAUGCCUAGGAAUCUGCCUGGUAGUGGGGGAUAACGUCCGGAAACGGGCGCUAAUACCGCAUACGUCCUGAGGGAGAAAGUGGGGGAUCUUCGGACCUCACGCUAUCAGAUGAGCCUAGGUCGGAUUAGCUAGUUGGUGGGGUAAAGGCCUACCAAGGCGACGAUCCGUAACUGGUCUGAGAGGAUGAUCAGUCACACUGGAACUGAGACACGGGCAGACUCCUACGGGAGGCAGCAGUGGGGAAUAUUGGACAAUGGGCGAAAGCCUGAUCCAGCCAUGCCGCGUGUGUGAAGAAGGUCUUCGGAUUGUAAAGCACUUUAAGUUGGGAGGAAGGGCAGUAAGUUAAUACCUUGCUGUUUUGACGUUACCAACAGAAUAAGCACCGGCUAACUUCGUG
rnacentral:rRNA from 1 species